UGGUUCAUAAUGAACCAUAUCUCAUAUACUCUCUUGUAUUACCCUCCCUUUCUAAAUCUCUGAUAUCCUGUCAUUUGUAUUAGCUGAUAGAAUAUGGAAGAAAUUGUAACCUGCCAGCUCUGGGCCAUGUCUUUAAAAGGAUGGGCAAUAUUCAUUUCUUUGCCUUUGAAAGACUCAUUUUAAUAAGUCCCCAUGGAUGAAGGCUGAUUACCUGCCUUUAGAGACUGCAUGUAGAGGCCAUGUCACUAGGAGAAGCCCUGAGACUGCAUGGACAGAAAGCAGGCCUAGCUCUGCUAGCCUAUUAGUUGAAUAUAUAUCUAAUUCCAAUCUUAGCUGCCGUCUGACUGAAACUACAUGGGAUUCUCAAAGUAAGAGCAGCACAGUUAUUUAGUUCAAUCUACUCAACUCACCAUAUUGUCAGAGGUGGUCAAACAGUUUUAUUUUUUUUGGCUGCACUCAUAGCAUAUGAAAGUUCCCAGGCCAGUGAUGAGACCCAUGCCACAGCAGUGACUCAAGCCACUGCAGUGACAAUGCUGGAUCCUUAACCUGCUGAGCCCCAAGAGAACUCCUCAAACAGUUGUUUUAAACUGUUUUGGGGUAGCUUUUGUAGAGUUAAUCAAAAUGGAAAUUGGCCCCAGAAAUGGUUCCAUGGAAAUAGAGCCUCAAAAAUGGUAAUUUGUUAAGUAGGUCUCUUAUCUCAUUAGAUUUAAAGGCAUCUGUGAGCCACGGUGGCACUGCUAGUUCAUGGGAUGCUGUGACAGAGAAGUAAUAAACAAUCACAUGUAGUCACCUAUAGAAGGGAAGUUUUAGGUAUCCAAGAGGUAGCUGCCUUAGCAAUGUUAGGAAAUAAGGGAUGUAAAGGAAGUGGUUGGCUGCUUCUGAAUGCACUGGAAAAUUGGAGAAAGAAAAUUAUAAGCUCAGGGCUUUAAAUUCUAAACUCAAUCUCUUAGUGAGAGACUAUAAAACAUCAUGAUUGCUCUACACAAUACUUAUAUUUCCUGUAGUUGCAUGGUCAAGAUUUCUUGAAAACCAGAUCAUAGACAGUAAUCUAGUUAGUGCUUUUUGUCUCAGGACCAAGUUCAACAUCAUGUACAGUAGUGACCAAAUGCUGAGUGAAUAAUUGAAUACUUGAGAAGAAAGCCUGGAUCAAAACAAAAUAUGAUAAAAACUUAAGAGAAGCAAUGUUUAUAGGUAAAUACAAUCUGACUUCAUCUUAUAGAGAUAGGAAGGAGAAAAUAUUUGGCCCCUGUCAUAUAAGGCUUUAGAAAUUAUAAUUCUUACUCUUUUUAUUUGAAGAGACCUUUUGGAAAUGUAUCUUUUACAUGAAAUAGUUAUUGUGUUACUUUUUGGUUUCUUACCUACUUUAAUUAAAUAUUAAGUUUAAUUAACCAUAUUUUGGGGAAAAAUUUAUUCUAAAUUGAAAUGUGUAGGGUAUGGAAGUGGAAUUUAAUUUAGUUGUAUUUUGAGAAAUGAGGAAAAAUUUAUUUCAGAAUCCCUUUCAGAUUUCUUAUUUGAAAAUGAUUCCUCAAAUCAAAACUUUUGAUGAUCAUUUUUAAAUAACAAGCAGCUUACAUUUGUGACCUGACAUGAAAAGCAUGAGAGCUGGAGAUUUUAGCCACAUUUACGUAGAAGCCUAGCUCACCAUAACUCUGGUGUAGGGAUUGCAUUUCUGUUUGAAUUAACUUUUCCUCAAGAGACAGACUCUUGGCUAUUUACUUCCAUUUCUACUUUUGGGAGGGUGUCAUUAUUAUUGCUUCUGGGUGACGUAAACUGCCUGUUCAGCUUAAAUUCAGCAAACUUUUAGAAUGCAAUUUAGUAUCUGCUGAAGCCUUAAGGUAAACACACAUGCCAGACAGUAUUUCAUACUGGAAUAUUCCCUAUCCGCCUAUGUUAUGAAGAGUGAUCUUCAUAGAGGUAGUUGCACUCCAUUCUCUAAAUUGUUUUUAAAUUUCUCUGUGGCUGGCUUAAGUCAAUAGAGCAGUGUAGUGCACCUUUUGAAAAAUUUCCUGUCUCACUUCUCAAUACUCUCCAUUUUUUUUUUUUUCAUUUAAGCAAGAGAACUCACCAUCAUAUACUGUAUAGUUAUCUGUGAUCUAUUGGUUCAACUCUGCUGGAUUAAUGCCAGAUUUCAACACUUAGCUCCCUACUGGCAAACUACUUUCCCACCAGUGGUUAAAAAAUGAUCACUUUUACGCUUAAGCACACACAUUGACAUCUCCCGUCUUGAAUUCCUCUGAAAAAGAAGAAAAAUAGCUAGAGAAGUCUACCAUAGCAGCCCCCUCUGGCAGGGAUUCGAAAGUAAAAGAGCAUUUCCAAUUUCAGUCAAAACCAACUGGUUCAGAAAAGUUCAGGUACUUCAGAAGUUAACACAGGCUCCCUUUGGUCCCAUCAGGAUUGAUAUUCCUAUCUGCCCAGUUUGCUUUUACUCAGUUCAGCUGUUUUGUUAUUACUUAUAGAAAAUGUUGCCUCAGCUGGAAAGCAGAAUCAUAUCAGAAACCAUUUUUAGAGGAGUUUAAUGAUGAUAUUUCAGUGGGACAAAAGGAAAAGAGUGCCCCCUCAGGAUUUCUUUAAAAUCCAUGAAGCCUGGUUUUGAAAAGAACAUGAUUGGAAUGCAGCAAGGAACCUAUCCUUAACAAUUCCUCUUCACUGAAUUGCGUCCUGGUUGUUCUUUAAAUGGCAACCCUUCAUAGUGUAGGUCAUCUUUACUUACUGGAAAAAUGGUAGCCUCCUCAUGGUACAAAAACUAUUACUUUCACACAAAGAAUUGAAAUAAAUUAUUUUCUCUCUUUACUGUUUUAGGAAGAAAUUUAGCAAUUGGUCAAAAGAUUUUUGACUUUUAUUAUCAAGGGAAAAAUAGGAUAAGAAUCCCCAAAUUUAAAAAAAAAAAUGUACUGAUGGUAUUUGAAAGAAAAGUUAAUAAUUUUCUUGAAUUUGAAAAUUUUGGUGCUUUUUUGAUUCCUUAAAAUGGAAUUUUUAGGUUACUCUAGGCUUUUCAUGAGUUAACAUAGAACAAGCAAAAAAUACCACAUUAUUUUAUUUUUAAUGAGGCUUUAAGCGAAAUAAAAUUUAAAUGUUUUCUUAGGCAUUUACAAAGGAUAUCCUAGAGUUCCUGCUAUAGUGUGGUCAGUUAAGAAUCUGACUGCAGCAGCUCAGGUUGCUGCAGAGGCAUGAGUUCAAUCUCUGGCCCAGUGCAGUGGGGUAAAGGAUGUGAUGUUGCUGGAGCUGUGGCAUAGGUUGAAAUUGUGGUUUAUAUUUGAUCCCUGUUCCGGGAAAUUCCACAUGCCAUGGAUGUGGCUGUAAAACAAAGGGGGUAUCUUAAAAAAAAAUUUUACAGAAAAAAAUUUGCAGUGAAACCAGACAAGGUAUAACAAAACAGAGAGUAGAUACCUGUUGAAUCAGGUGUUGCUCUAUAUGAGACAGUCUGUAGAUGCAAAGGGAUUUAAAGAAGGACCUUGUGGGCUGAGGAAGUUAGAGGGACUUUAAGAAAUGAGUGCUUCUGAAGUAGUCACUGGAAGAAAUAAAGAAGUAGACUUCUUGUUAGGGGCUGUGCCUUGACUUUCUGAUUCUUUAGAAUCAAGAAAUGAAUAUUUCUAUAACAUCGAUGUAGGUAAACAACUCUAGAAAUUCUUAAUCUAAGUUAAAGGAGAUGAACACACAAAGGAAAUAUGGUAAAAGAAAC
rnacentral:lncRNA from 1 species